rnacentral:misc_RNA from 1 species
AUUCAAUUCAUUUGAAUUCUUUCAGUUUUAGACUUUCCAAACACAUUACAUGAUAUCUUCUGGUAAAAAUUUGAAUGCAUGGGAUGCUAUUUUUUUUUUCUUCUUUUUGGCAAAAUAUAUUCAUGCACGUGAUGGGUGUGAAAUUGGGUUAGAUACUUCAUCUAUUAAGCUGUUCAUUUUCUCUGCAGUUUUAUGAGAGGUUAACCCUAUUGACUAUUGCACCUGAACUCAUAAAACUAGGGUGUGAAAUGAGUCAACUGAAGAUUGAAAUGCAUAGCAUAUUUGAUUAGAGGACUAGGUUUUGUCUGUAUGUGCAGGUGAUUUUGCAUGCACAGUAGA